rnacentral:rRNA from 1 species
GACGAACGCUGGCGGCGUGCUUAACACAUGCAAGUCGAGCGGUAAGGCCCUUUCGGGGGUACACGAGCGGCGAACGGGUGAGUAACACGUGGGUGACCUGCCCUCAGCUCUGGGAUAAGCCUGGGAAACUGGGUCUAAUACUGGAUAUGACUCCACGGUGCAUGUCGUGGGGUGGAAAGCCUUGUGCGGCUGAGGAUGGGCCCGCGGCCUAUCGGCUUGUUGGUGGGGUGAUGGCCUACCAAGGCGACGACGGGUAGCCGGCCUGAGAGGGCGACCGGCCACACUGGGACUGAGACACGGCCCAGACUCCUACGGGAGGCAGCAGUGGGGAAUCUUGCGCAAUGGGCGAAAGCCUGACGCAGCGACGCCGCGUGAGGGAUGACGGCCUGGUGUAAC